UCGCUAGUAAUCGCGGAUCAGAAUGCCGCGGUGAAUACGUUCCCGGGUCUUGUACACACCGCCCGUCACACCAUGGGAGUCGGAAAUGCCCGAAGUCUGUGACCCAACCUUAGGGAGGGAGCAGCCGAAGGCAGGUCGGAUGACUGGGGUGAAGUCGUAACAAGGUAAC
rnacentral:rRNA from 1 species